UGUUGAUCAAAUAUUGAUGAUGAAAAUUAAAUAUUGUUGACCUUUUCUUUUUUUUUUGUAAUCUUUAGUUGUGCCCCCUCCUGCUACCACUGCUGUGUCCACUCUUGCUACAACUGAUGUAGCCAAGAAAAACUUACUCCAAAUUGGCAAUCCAUAAAUCAAAAUGACACCAAACGUACCUUCAAUCAAUCAUUUUAAAAUUAAAUAAUUCAGCUUCAACUACAUUUAAAUAAUUUGUAGCAAAGUCUUAAAGUCUUUGAAUGUAACGAAAGCAUCACGGACAGAUAACUUAAACAAUGAUAUUGUGACUUAUCUGAACAAGCAGAGAUUGAAAAAGAGUUAAAU